UCGGGGUUUCGUACGUAGCAGAGCAGCU
rnacentral:piRNA from 8 species